rnacentral:rRNA from 1 species
UGGGGAAUAUUGGACAAUGGGGGAAACCCUGAUCCAGCAAUGCCGCGUGAGUGAAGAAGGCCUUAGGGUUGUAAAGCUCUUUCGCCCGCGAAGAUAAUGACGGUAGCGGGAGAAGAAGCCCCGGCUAACUCCGUGCCAGCAGCCGCGGUAAUACGGAGGGGGUUAGCGUCGUUCGGAAUUACUGGGCGUAAAGCGUACGUAGGCGGAUGCGCAAGUUGGGGGUGAAAUCCCGGGGCUUAACCUCGGAAUUGCCCUCAAAACUGCACGUCUUGAGACCGAGAGAGGUAAGGGGAAUUCCUAGUGUAGAGGUGAAAUUCGUAGAUAUUAGGAAGAACACCAGUGGCGAAGGCGCCUUACUGGCUCGGUACUGACGCUGAGGUACGAAAGCGUGGGGAGCAAACA